UUUUUCACAAAUGAGCCGCACAAAACAAAUGCUCAUUUUCUCGCGCUCUCAGCUCUCUUCACCUCAAACAACUGUCGUUCAUUCUUUACCUCAAACCCUCAAUCUCUUCCCUUUGCUUCUUCUCCGCCGGUAACCUGCCACCACCAUUGCUCUUGCAGACGGCACGGAGGCUUCUGUCGUAGUUGUUUUGUUGUCGCGCUGCCCUGCUUGUUGUGCUAUUAUCUCUCUUGCCUGCUCCAUCUUUCUCUCGUCACUACUCUGUAUCGCCACCGCCACAGUGGCGGAGGAUGGUGGCUGAGGGUUUUUCAUCCUUGCUACCCUAUUGAUCGAUGGAUAAAAGCCCUACCACAGGCAGUGUUUCAACAUUUGCUGAAGAAAAACAAAGUUUAGCCAAGACUUCACUCACUUAUAAUUGUAAAAUGUAUUCAACAAUCCGAGGGAGCAGCCUUUUACCAUUGAGUAGAUAAAUGAAGUUCGAGAAAAGUUGGCAAACUUCAUUACCAUUUAUUGUCUUUGAUAUUUUCUUGUAGUGAAUCUUAGAUUAUGGAUGCUAGUUUUUCAGAGGAUUGUAAUGUAAUCAAUUUUUAUAUUUAUAAUUAAUUAUUUAUAUAAUUGGAUACUAUUUUUAUGUGA